CCACGUUGGGCGCCAUCCGACGUACCGGAACCUCCUCGAGUGAUCGGAGUGAAUUGUGUUAAAUUAUGUGACGUGAUUUUAAUAUUACAAUAAAAUAAAUAAUUAAUAAAUUAAGUAGACACAAAUAAUUAAAGUACUAAUAUUAAACUAACUUAGUGAACGACAUCGGCGUACCAAGUUCCGAUAUCUGAUAACGCUAAGUGAAGCGUCAAGUGACGUGCCUCCGGCGAGACUUUGGGCAAGUUCUUUUUCUUGUUCGCAACUUCGCAGCACUUCGAUAGAUAUUAUUGCCAGCGGGGUUCAUCUUCGAAGCCUAAAAUAGAUCCAACGGAUAGAGGAUGUGAAACAGUUUGUGACAGACAAUGAUAAAACCCAGAAUAUGGUCAAGAAGAGGCACGGGAUGAGAGACAAGUGAGAAAAUGGCUACUAAAAUGCUUCUGUCGCUGCUUCUACACUGCUUUUAUGUUACCACCGCGUCGAUGCCUGGAGGUACGUUCAUUGUUGGGUUAAACAGAG
rnacentral:misc_RNA from 1 species